rnacentral:rRNA from 1 species
CCUACGGGAGGCAGCAGUGAGGAAUAUUGGUCAAUGGACGCAAGUCUGAACCAGCCAAGUAGCGUGCAGGAUGACGGCCCCCCGGGUUGUAAACUGCUUUUAGUUGGGAAUAAAAGGGGGCUCGUGAGCCCCGUAUUGUAUGUACCAUCAGAAAAAGGACCGGCUAAUUCCGUGCCAGCAGCCGGGGUAACACGGAAGGUCCGGGCGUUAUCCGGAUGUAUGGGGUUUAAAGGGAGCGGAGGCCGGCUGUUAAGUCAGUUGUGAAAGUCCGGGGCUCAACCGUGGAAUGGCAGUUGAAACUGGAGGCCUUGAGUGCACACAGGGAAGACGGAAUUCAUGGUGUAGCGGUGAAAUGCUUAGAUAUCAUGAAGAACACCGAUCGCGAAGGCAAGUGUCCGGGGUGCAACUGACGCUGAGGCUCGAAAGUGCGGGUAUCAAACAGGAUUAGAUACCCCUGUAGUC